UUUUCUCUGGGGCACUGAGCUUUGCCAGGGGUUGGUGGGUCCUUUUUUUCCUCACCCUGGAGUAAACUCAGCUUAUUAUUCCAUCCUUGAUGUUUCAAGGAAUAACAACAGAUGACCAAAGAAAGAGGUGGACAGGAUGGGUCUCAGAGGAGGGGCAGAGAGGUUUGAGAGGUGGGCAGGGCAGGGGAGGGUGCAAAGAGGCAUGAGUGGUGAGCAGGGCAGUUCUCAGGGGAGAGGUCACAGAGGUGAGGGGGUGGGCAGGCCAUCUCAGAGGAAGGGGCAGAGAGGUGUGGGUAGUGGGCAGGGUGGGUCUCAGGGGAGAGGUGUGGGCAAUGGGCAGGGUGAGUCUCAGGGGAAGGGGCAGAGAGGUGUGGGCAGCAGGCAGACCUUGGGGUAGGUGGUGGAGACGCACAAGGAGGUCUUGGGAGAGGAGAGGAGAGGAGCGAGCGACAGGUGGACCAGCAGGCCUCAGCCAAAGAGGAAGAGCAGUGGUGGGAAGUGGCCAAAUGGGAGUGAGGGCAGAGCACAGGGGGGCCUCAGAGGGAGGAGAACAAGUGAAGGGCGUGGAGUGGACAGGGCUGGCCAGAG